rnacentral:rRNA from 1 species
UACGGAAGGCAGCAGUAGGGAAUCUUCCGCAAUGGACGAAAGUCUGACGGAGCAACGCCGCGUGAACGAUGAAGGCUUUCGGGUCGUAAAGUUCUGUUGUUAGGGAAGAACAAGUACCAGAGUAACUGCUGGUACCUUGACGGUACCUAACCAGAAAGCCACGGCUAACUACGUGCCAGCAGCCGCGGUAAUACGUAGGUGGCAAGCGUUGUCCGGAAUUAUUGGGCGUAAAGCGCGCGCAGGUGGUCCUUUUAAGUCUGAUGUGAAAGCCCACGGCUCAACCGUGGAGGGUCAUUGGAAACUGGGGACUUGAGUGCAGAAGAGGAAAGUGGAAUUCCGACGUGUAGCGGUGAAAUGCGUAGAGAUGUGGAGGAACACCAGUGGCGAAAGGCGACUUUUCUGGUCUGUAACUGACACUGAGGCGCGAAAGCGUGGGGAGCGGAACAGGGAUUAGAUACC